rnacentral:tRNA from 1 species
CGGGGCGUGGCUCAGCUUGGUAGAGCGCUUGCUUCGGGAGUAAGAGGUCGCUGGUUCGAAUCCAGUCGCCCCGACCA